rnacentral:lncRNA from 1 species
UGUAAAUAUUAUGCCUAAGAAAUGAAAUGAUGAUGUGACACGGCUGCUGUUUUAAAAGAUUUGUAUUGAAAGUGUCAAAUUUUUAAAAAUUGGGGAAAGUUGAUAGUGACCGUUGGAGUCUUCUGUUGCUGUUUCCCACUGAAGAUUUUUUCUCUAGAUAUAGAACAAUCUUACUUAUGAGAAACCUGCUGAAUAUGGUUCAGGAGGGUCUGAAACUGGUCCUGCCCCCACUGCUACAGGAGAUGAGAAAGUUUAAUUCCACUUUGUGUCCUGAAAGAGAGAAAGAUGGUCUGUGUAAACACUGGACAGCUUCAUUAAAAUAAAGAAUUUUGCAUUUAAAGAUUUUAGUAUAGAAAUAUUCUCGGCAAAAUGUCCUGAGAUCUGUCACAGCUGCAUAAAGAACAUAAAUUUCUUAGAGUUUUUGGUAAAUAUGACAUUUCACUGUUUUUGCUAAGUCAUAAAUCAUGUUCAUUAUGUGCAGUGCUGCAGACGCUGUGCAAACUAUCAUUCAAUGGGACAAAUAAUUUUUAAACAAG